rnacentral:rRNA from 1 species
CUCUAUGGCCAUGCCACCCUGAACACGCCCAAGCCCGACUGAUCUCGGAAGCUAAGCAGGGUCGGGCCCGGUUAGUACUUGGAUGGGAGACCACCUAGGAAGACCAGGUGCUGUAGGCG